rnacentral:lncRNA from 10 species
CCUGUCUCUGUGGUUGAAGCCAUCACAACCUGACUGACCCUCUCCUUAUAGCCACAUGCAACCAACUUAAGAGCCAGGAUAUCUAACUUUUGGACUAAAAAUAUAACCAGAGAAAGCUAGGCACUACAUGCUCUGUCUUCUCUGUUUUUAUUUUCUUUAAGAUGUUACUUUUUAUAACCACAGUAACCAACAUCUUGAUAAGAUUCCAAUCAUAGUACCAGAGUUUGUGUUUAGCCACUGAGUGCAUGGAAUGAAAAGGAAGCAUGGAAACCAUCUCAUUGAGAACAGAGGGAGUAACUGAGGCUGGGAGAGCAGAGAGAAAUCCGCAGUUCAUGGUGGAAGGGAAGUCUGGGCCAAGACACACCAACUCUUCUCCCUCAGUAAAUUUUUCUAUGAAAAUUAAUGGAUUCUGUAAUCCAACACAGGGAGAAAUAGGCCACAUGAAUCACACUGUGCAGUAUUAGAUUUAAUCACAUAGGUCUUUACUACUGCUUAACUCUGGGUCAAGUACUGUGCUGGGCACAUGCCAGGGAAGAUGGUACACAAAUGAAUGGUGCCUCAUUGGCUUUGUUUGAGCAAGUGCACAUACACAAAUGUACACACAUACACAUGCCUGUGUUUACAUUCCACAUGUGGAUUUGAUGAAGAUGAAUGAGAUGGGCAGCCGGACAUGGGAGAGUGAAGUGACUCCAGGAAGUGGCAGAGGGAAGCUUGUGCUGCACCAUAAGAAACGUGAGGGUGUCCGUAGGCAGAUGUCUGGCAGUGCCAUCUAGGUGGAGGAAGACAGUCCAAAUGUCCUGGAAGCAUGGGCACCCACCCUACAGUGGGACAGCGCCUAGUAGAUGAGGACGAGGGAUGCAGCCUGGGAGAAAACGUGCAGGUCGUUGUCCCACUGACCCAUCCUAGCACCUUCCCUUCAGAGGACAUGGCAGGAAACCUGCUGCCUGUGGCCAACUCUGGCCAGGCUGCAGAUAACAGGUUUUGUUUUGCUGCAGGGCAGAAAUCAGAUGUAAUAAAUUCAGAGAGCAGGUGAGGGGAUGAAAGAUUCCAGGUUGAUAAAUGAUGAAUUUUCAACAAUUAGAACAUUUCUGGAAUGAAACAGACUUCCCUCCAAAAUAAAGAAGUGCCUGCCCACUCCAUAGCAAUUCCCAACACCAGACAAUGGCCACCUCUGGGGAAGAGAUUCAAGCACUAAACUGAGGGCAGCUCACCUGCUGCCAGGUCUGUCCCUCCACCUCUUCUGACCCUCAACUCCUGGGUACUCACCCAGCUCACCAAGUGCUGCAGCAAGACUGUGAGCAGAGAACCAGGGAAAGUUCCAGCAGUACAGGCCUUGAGAGAGCAUCUCAUUGAUCUGUUCCAUUUUACAGAUGGGAACAUUGCAGAUGGAAAGGGAGGUAGUGUUGACAAAAGCCCAGAGUGAAUACUUUGUGUGGAUUUAUAUUUGUAAACAUGUAUGUGCAGUAUAAUAUCCACUCAAAAAGUGCACAACUCGUAAGUGAGCAGCUCUCUACAGACAGAUAUGGACAUAGAACAUUAGCAUUACCUCCACCCUUCACAGACUCCUCAGAGGCCACCGCUUUUCAGAGUCACUGACUUUUUGACACAGUCAUUUCUGACUUUUUGAGCCUUAAAUAAAUGGAAUCAUACAGCUUGGUUCUCUCACUGCACAUUUCGUUUGUGAUAAUCAUACAAGUUAUCAUGUGAAGCAGAGGUUUAUUAUUUUCCAUUGAAUGAAUAUAACAAAAUAUAUUCAUCCAUUAAAUGUUGACAGAUAAUUGGUUCCUUUGCAGCUGAGAGCUAGUGUACCAUAGCUGGUCUUGUAAUGUCUUUUGGUGAAUAUGGGUUUGCAAACCUGUUGAUUACACGUGUGAAUUACAGUAACUGACUCAGAGGGUGUGCAUGUGUUCGUCUUUAUCGGAGAAUGCCAAAGCGUUUUUCAAAGUGGUGGUACCAAUUUGCACAUCUCCCAGCAGAGUUGUGCUGCAUCCUACAUGGAAUAGACAUGAGGAGGCCAGGCUGUUAAUUCUGGGUCUGCCACGAGUCAUUUUGACCCUGGGAAAAGCAGUUCAUUUCUGGGGACCUCUGUUUUUCCCUCACAUGAGUGCUAAGGUAUCUUCUACCCUUAAUUUUUCUCUCAUUCUAGAAGACAUACUGAAGAUAUGCUUUUAUGUCUAUUCAGGGAAACAUACAUAUAUUUAUGGAUUUAUAUAUAUAUUUAUGUAUUUACGUAUGUAUGUAAGACGUAUAUAAUGAGGAAAACACAUUAAAAAGCACUGAAUUUGAAAGUUUACAAAUGUACUUUUAUGCUGAUAUUAUAUACAUCAGGAUUUGCCUUAUAAUACAAGGUUUCCUCUUCAUUUAAACAACUCUAAAAAUAAUGAUCGAAUUAACAAGCCAACAAUAUUGUAUGCAAUGAAUAGGAAAAAAACUAACUGACAGAUAGAAAAAGAACAAAGGAGGCUGGGCGCGGUGGCUCACGCCUGUAAACCCAGCAUUUUGGGAGGGCGAGGCGGGCGGAUCACGAGGUCAGGAGAUAGAGACCAUCCUGGCCAACAUGGCGAAACCCCGUCUGUACUAAAAAAAAUACAAAAAAUUAGCCGGGCGUAGUGGCGGG